rnacentral:tRNA from 1 species
GUCAAGAUGGCCGAGUUGGUCUAAGGCGCCAGGUGCUGACCCGAAAGGGCAUGGGUUCGAAUCCCAGUUUUGACA